rnacentral:rRNA from 1 species
CGGAGGGUGCAAGCGUUAAUCGGAAUUACUGGGCGUAAAGCGCACGCAGGCGGUCUGUCAAGUCGGAUGUGAAAUCCCCGGGCUCAACCUGGGAACUGCAUCCGAAACUGGCAGGCUAGAGUCUUGUAGAGGGGGGUAGAAUUCCAGGUGUAGCGGUGAAAUGCGUAGAGAUCUGGAGGAAUACCGGUGGCGAAGGCGGCCCCCUGGACAAAGACUGACGCUCAGGUGCGAAAGCGUGGGGAGCAAACAGGAUUAGAUACCCUGGUAGUCCACGCCGUAAACGAUGUCGACUUGGAGGUUGUGCCCUUGAGGCGUGGCUUCCGGAGCUAACGCGUUAAGUCGACCGCCUGGGGAGUACGGCCGCAAGGUUAAAACUCAAAUGAAUUGACGGGGGCCCGCACAAGCGGUGGAGCAUGUGGUUUAAUUCGAUGCAACGCGAAGAACCUUACCUACUCUUGACAUCCACRGAAYUUAGCAGAGAUGCUUUGGUGCCUUCGGGAACUGUGAGACAGGUGCUGCAUGGCKGUCGUCAGCUCGGUGUUG